CUGCCAUUCCCCCAGCUGGGGAGAAGAGGAACCAGAGGUGCGUGAAGCCGCUUGUUCCAGUCACAAGCUGGAUCUGGCCCACCAGGCUCAGGGCUCCCCCCAGUGGGAAGCUGGAGCUGGUGCUCCAACUUCACAGGAAGGGGUGACAGUGGGCAGCUCCUAGCUGCAGAGGGAGGAGGGAGGUUGAGUCUUGAGUUGCAGCCCAUCUGCAAGGCAGCUGCAGACCACUAGUAGUACAUGGACCACAGUAUGAGAACUACUGACUGUGAAAGACUAAUGGCCCUAAAAUCAUAUUCAUUUAAAUAGCAUUAAUUAGCCUGUGUGUCCAGAGAAGAGGAUUGCUUUAGCAGCUCAUACAGAUUCUCAUUUAGCAAAAGUGGUAAGGACUUGCGGUUCUGAAGGCAAUUCUCAAUGCAGUUCAGUUUAGAAUUUGCUGAUGUUUAGAAUCUUAGAAUUUGACUGCAUGUGAAAGUAGCAACUGGAUUUCCACUUCUGUUAUGGUGGCUGCUGCACUGCACCAUUCCCCCACCUACCUCCUAAACAGAAAAGGGUUUGCUUUCUUUAUUGUCUUACCACCUACCCCUUCUGAGUUCAGGGAGACUAUCACAAGUGAGCUAGUGUAAUCCCAAUCCCUUCUGCCAGCUUGACUGAUGACCAGUAGUGGAGGAAUCAGCUUCCUGGCUUGGCUGAGAACCAGGAAUGGAAGAAGCAGUUGAGGAGAAGAGAUCGCUCCAUCUGCGACAGGCCAGUAACAACGGAACUGGUGGCAGCCAGACUGAGAGCAUGAGGAAAAGGGCGCGAACAUCGCAAGAUGCUGACUGUACAUGAGCGGUCCAGCUGACUACUGCUGUUCAAAACUCUGAUGUGCGGUGCUGGGACGAGCCUGACACCAACAGUGGAGCACCCACAGGGACAUCAGUCGAAGAAGAAGAUCUGGUUUCCAGUCACUAUUUUAAGUUUUGUUCUAAACAGAUGCAAUCCCGCAGGAAACCCAGGAGAAAUCUAAAUCUACAGAUAGAAAACCCCAUCUUCUCACAACCCACUGAUCCAAGAGGAUUGGCUAUAUUCACCAGGAAUUAAGUUUAAGAAGAUUGUGCAGAAAAAAUACAGGAGAAUUCUAUGGGGCUGAAAGUAGGAGGAAAAAAAGAAAAGAAAAUUGAAUGUGUUUUACUGCUUAUUCCAGAGAAGUGUUCUCCUUUGGCUGAAUGAAAGUACAAAUCACCUAAGCUAAACUCACAAGAUUUAUAUGGCACAAAGGAAGUAAAGAGAACAACCUGAAACUUGCUGGGCUCUGGCAUUCUAAUGAACACCAGUGUACCAAAUCAUUACUCUUUUCACACUUGUAAAAUUAUUAAACAGAAAAGUUCAUUUUUCUCCUCUUUGCAUGGCUGCACCAAUAUUUCAUGUAUAUUAUUAACAUCUUAUUUAAAUGACUUUAAUUAAUUUAUAAACUAGGAUGAUACAAACUUUAUGGAUGAACAUUUUAUUUUCUCUCUCUCUUUGGUCAUUGUAACAGUGCUCACUUGGGGGCUGGUUGGGGAACGAGGCCUAGUGAACCCAACCACAACUCCUAACUGUCAAGAGGAUUAUGGGUUGCGGGGGGGAGGGGGAGAGCCAAAGCCAGUUACUGGCAAUCAAGGCUUCUUCCUCUCAUCCCUCUUCAUCUUCCCCUGCUUCAUCUUAGUCCACGGAUUCCUGCCCUCCCAGUGAAGGGAUAAGAAAGAAGGGGUUUUCAUAUUCAUAAAUGAUCUGGAAAAAGAAUAAACAGUGAGGUGGCAAAAUUUGCAGAUGAUACAAAAUUGCUCAAGAUAGUUAAGCCCAAAGCAGACUGUGAAGAUCUCACAAAACCGAGUGACUAGGAAAUAAAAUGGCAGAUGAAAGUCAGUGUUGAUAACUGCAAAGUAGCAUACAUUGGAAAACAUAAUCCAAAUUACACAUAUAAAAUGAUGCGGGUCUAAAUUAUCUGUUAUCACUCAAGAAGAAUCUUGGAGUCAUUGUGGAUAGUUCUCUGGAAACAUCUACUCCCAUGAUGUCCAACAUGCUAGCCACUAGACACAUAUGGCUAUUUGGCCGGGUAAGUGUGGCUAGCUCGUUAUAGCUGUAGUCAUAAUACUGGUUUACUGCUUUAGAACUGGUUGGACACCACAGAUGCACUCAGUGUGCACCAUCAGUCGAAAAAGUGAACAGAAUGUUAGGAACCACAAGAAAGGGACAGAUAAUGAAAGGAACUAUCAUAAUGACACUAAAUAAAUCCAUGGUAUACCCACUCCUUGAGCACUGAUUGCAGUAGUUUUGGUCACUCCAUCUCAAAAAAAGAUAAAUUAGAAGUGGAAAAAGUACAGAGAAGGGCAAAAAAAAAAAAAGAUCAAGGGUAUGGAACAGCUACCAUGAGAAGACAAACUAAGGGGAGAUACAAUAGAAGUCUAUAAAAUCAUGAUAGGUGUGGAGAAAAUAAAUAAGUGUGAUUUAUUCCUGCUCAUAACACAAGAACUAGGGGAUCACCAAAUGAAAAUAGGCAGCAAGUUUAAAACAAACAAAAGGAAGUAUUUUCUUAUGUAAUGCAAAGUUAACUUGUGGAACUCCUUGCCAGAGGAUGUUGUAAAGGCCAAGGCUAUAACAGGGUUCACAUAAGAACGACAUAAGUUUGUGGAGGAUAGGUCCAGUGCUUUUUUUGUGAUGGUACACACCGGAACGGUGUACCGUCACCUUUUUUGGGGAGCACUUGCCGCUUUUCCCCAGCACAGCACCUAGCCGGCCCUGGGAGCACUCGCACCAUGCUGGAUGGAAGCCCGCGGGACAUGCGACAAUUAAAAGGGCUGCGAAUGCAUUUUGGCACCUCCGUGUUUUUUGG